rnacentral:lncRNA from 1 species
UUCACCAUGUUGGCCAGCCCGGUCUUGAACUCCGUCAGCCUCCCAAAGUGCUAGGAUUAACAGGCGUGAGCCGGCACGCCCGGCCUCCCCGCUGAAUCCUUUCUUCAUUUUAUCAUAAUCCUUCUAAAUACACUUUCGGGAACUUUAAAAGAUGCCUACCACCAUUUGUCUCUCAUGAAGAUGUGAACUGCGACUGGAAACAGCUCAGUCUCUCACAGGGAAAGCACAAUGACACAGAAGGAAAUAUAGAAGUCCCCAAAUUAGGAAUCUUGGAUUUUAGACCCAGUGUUCCCUUAACUGCUUAAAGUGUGACCUCAAGCCAUAUACUGACAUCAACACUUAGGAAGAAAUAGGACUGCAAUGAGGACAAAACCUGUUACAGGGAAAGGAAAUGAUAGAGGCCUGGAAAACAAAGCAAAUAACAAGAGUCAGAUGUUGAAGGAAUAGAGGGAAAUAUACUAAGAGGA